rnacentral:rRNA from 1 species
GAUGAACGCUGGCGGCGUGCUUAACACAUGCGAGUCGAACGGAAAGGCCCAAGCUUGCUUGGGUACUCGAGUGGCGAACGGGUGAGUAACACGUGGGUGAUCUGCCCUGCACUUCGGGAUAAGCCUGGGAAACUGGGUCUAAUACCGGAUAGGACGAUGGUUUGGAUGCCAUUGUGGAAAGUUUUUUCGGUGUGGGAUGAGCUCGCGGCCUAUCAGCUUGUUGGUGGGGUAAUGGCCUACCAAGGCGUCGACGGGUAGCCGGCCUGAGAGGGUGUACGGCCACAUUGGGACUGAGAUACGGCCCAGACUCCUACGGGAGGCAGCAGUGGGGAAUAUUGCACAAUGGGCGCAAGCCUGAUGCAGCGACGCCGCGUGGGGGAUGACGGCCUUCGGGUUGUAAACUCCUUUCGCUAGGGACGAAGCGUUUUGUGACGGUACCUGGAGAAGAAGCACCGGCUAACUACGUG